rnacentral:sRNA from 1 species
AUGUGUGGUCAUUUUUAAAGCCCUAAUUUCUUAAAAAAAAAAAAUUAAAAAUUAAAAUUUAAUAUUUUUUUUUUUAUUUUACAGCGUAAAUCGGCUGCAAAUAAGGUUAACCGAGAAGCGAAGCCGUACAUUUAUCACUCUUGUUCUCAUCCCCUCACUUUUCGAGUCCAAGAACGACGUGAUAAGGGUUCGUUUUUCUCGGAAGUCGAGGCUUGGGGAUACGAAUGAUCAUAAUGGCAACCAGGUGGUUAAUGACAUUUAUAAGGACAAGUGCCUCGCCAACCUCUACCAGCAGCAACCGGACAUGCCAAUGGAGGAGCUGACACCCAAUCUAGAGGUGUCUCUAUAGUUAUUGAUAGAUGGGGUUGUGUGAUGGAAAGGAAAAGAACUCCACGACCUAGAAGUAGGUCGGGUUCGGGACCUCGGGAGAUCUUCUUCAUCUAAGUCUCAGACUUCAAGCGGGAUGUCUUCCAUACUGCAGCAAUUGGAGAUUGAGCUAACGGACCUACGACAAUGAGAAGAAGAAGCUUGGGAAGGAGCGCGCCAGCGAGAAGAAGCUCAAAAGCAGCUGCAUGCCAGCGAGAGGAGGCCCCUUCCACGACACAUUGCUGAGAUGACCCAAGUAAUGGCAGCCUCUGGCAUUCACCUUCUGGAUCCUUCUAGCGAUUUUCAGCUGCCAUUCCACCAAUCACCCCAGUAGUCGCACUUAGUUUAUGAUUUUUAUAUACAUUUGCACGAAUAAUUAUUUUUAGAUUAAUAUAAUUUAAACUAAGAAUUUCUUUUUAAAAAUAAAUUUUAAAGGUUUUCACGACGAUUACUUGCGUCUGACAUAAUAUUUAAAAAAAAAUUUUGUUAAUGGAAACC